rnacentral:lncRNA from 1 species
UGAAAUAUUUGAUCACUCGAUGUGCAAUUUGUGAUAUGUUGUAAUAUUUGAGCACUUGAUGAGUCGUUUGUGAUAUGUGAGCACUUGAUGUGCAGUUGUUGAAAUCAUAUUUUCUUUGGGACUACGGAACAGUAUUUCGGGAGAUCCCCCUACCCUGCAUGUUUAUUUUGGGACUACAGAACGGUAUUCCGGGAGAUUCGCCUAUCUUGCAUAUUUACUUUUGGGACUACGAAGCGGUACCUCGGGAGAUCCCCCCCUGUCUUGCAUAUUUACCUUUGGGACUACGAGGUGGUAUCUCGGGAGAUCCCCGAGAUCCCCCUUGUCUUGUAUAUUUACUUUUGGGACUACGAGGCGGUACCUCGGGAGAUCCUCUCUGUCUUGCAUAUUUACUUUUGGGACUACAAGGCGGUACCUCGGGAGUACCCUUUUGUUGAUAUUUUUUUAUGGAUACACUUGCCUUUGCUUAUUUUGUUUUUCCGUGAUAUAUAAAUUCUUGUGUUCUUCUGUGAUGUGUUAUUUGAUUUUAUUAUGUGUUUUGUAUUCCUUGUUGUAUUGUGUUGUCUUUAGCUCUUUGUACAAGACUCUGCAGAUUUGUGUUUAUGAUUUUUACUGGUUUUCGAGAAUUGAGUUGUUUCGAAUAAAAGAAAUUGCUAUUAUGUUUUAAUUUAAUAAAUUUUACAUCCAAAUUAGUAGUCAUCGGAUGCUUCAUUUUAAUUAAAAUGUCAUUUUCUUCACCCAAACGAGCUCAAACAAUAAACUCAUUUCUUUGAUAGUUUCUUACUUGGUUUAAAAAUUGUAAACUUAUUUUAUUGAAAAUAAAUUGAUCCUACGGAUCUUAUAUACAUUGAUAUAUUGGUACGUGAAUUGUCCGUGCAAUUAUGAUAUGAAAUGUGGGCACGAGGUAUUGUGGUUAAAUAAUAAUGACAUUUGGCACGUGAGUUGUCUGUGCGGUUGUGAUAGAGAAAUUGGCACGAGGUGCCGUGAAAAAAUAUGAAAGUGGGCUGAGACCCGUAUUUUAUGAUUUUGAAAUGUUGUGUCACAGGGUGACUUUUAUUCGAAAGAGAUUUAUUUGAAAGAAUUUUAUUUGAGAGAUAUUUGUUUGAAGGAAAGAGAUUUGAAAGAAAUUUAUUUGAAAGUAUUAUAUCCUGAAGAUUUCAAUUUGAAAAACAUAUAGGCGAAAGAUUUAUAUUGGAAUGACUUGAUUAAUUGGUUGUACUUGUAUUCAUUAUUUGUUGCACAAUAUUUAUGGUGUUCUUGUCUCCAUGUUGUUUAUAUCACUGGUUGAUUAUUAUUGUCACCAUUUUUAUUUGUUUCCUAUUAUUUUUAUAUGCUAUAUUACACAGGUUAUUAGACUAGUGAGUGUCUUGACUUUACCUCGUCAC